CUGAGGGUCUAGUCAUGAGUCAACAGGGGUAAUAGAAGGUGUUCUGAGGGUCUAGUCAUGAGUCAACAUGGGUAAUAGAAGGUGAGUUCUGAGGGUCUAGUCAUGAGUCAACAGGGGUAAUGGAAGGUGAGUUCUGAGGGUCUAGUCAUGAGUCAACAGGGGUAAUGGAAGGUGAGUUCUGAGGGUCUAGUCAUGAGUCAACAGGGGUAAUGGAAGGUGAGUUCUGAGGGUCUAGUCAUGAGUCAACAGGGGUAAUGGAAGGUGAGUUCUGAGGGUCUAGUCAUGAGUCAACAGGGGUAAUGGAAGGUGAGUUCUGAGGGUCUAGUCAUGAGUCAACAGGGGUAAUGGAAGGUGAGUUCUGAGGGUCUAGUCAUGAGUCAACAGGGGUAGUGGAAGGUGAGUUCUGAGGGUCUAGUCAUGAGUCAACAGGGGUAAUGGAAGGUGAGUUCUGAGGGUCUAGUCAUGAGUCAACAGGGGUAAUGGAAGGUGAGUUCUGAGGGUCUAGUCAUGAGUCAACAGGGGUAAUGGAAGGUGAGUUCUGAGGGUCUAGUCAUGAGUCAACAGGGGUAAUGGAAGGUGAGUUCUGAGGGUCUAGUCAUGAGUCAACAGGGGUAAUGGAAGGUGAGUUCUGAGGGUCUAGUCAUGAGUCAACAGGGGUAAUGGAAGGUGAGUUCUGAGGGUCUAGUCAUGAGUCAACAGGGGUAAUGGAAGGUGAGUUCUGAGGGUCUAGUCAUGAGUCAACAGGGGUAAUGGAAGGUGAGUUCUGAGGGUCUAGUCAUGAGUCAACAGGGGUAAUGGAAGGUGAGU